rnacentral:rRNA from 1 species
AGAGUUUGAUCCUGGCUCAGGAUGAACGCUAGCGGCAGGCUUAACACAUGCAAGUCGAGGGGUAUUUAUCUUCGGAUAGAGAGACCGGCGCACGGGUGCGUAACGCGUAUGCAAUCUACCUUUUACAGAGGGAUAGCCCAGAGAAAUUUGGAUUAAUACCUCAUAGUAUAAUGACCUGGCAUCAGGAUAUUAUUAAAGUCACAACGGUAAAAGAUGAGCAUGCGUCCCAUUAGCUAGUUGGUAAGGUAACGGCUUACCAAGGCUACGAUGGGUAGGGGUCCUGAGAGGGAGAUCCCCCACACUGGUACUGAGACACGGACCAGACUCCUACGGGAGGCAGCAGUGAGGAAUAUUGGACAAUGGGCGCAAGCCUGAUCCAGCCAUGCCGCGUGCAGGAUGACGGUCCUAUGGAUUGUAAACUGCUUUUAUACGAGAAGAAACACUGCUUCGUGAAGCAGCUUGACGGUAUCGUAAGAAUAAGGAUCGGCUAACUCCGUGCCAGCAGCCGCGGUAAUACGGAGGAUCCAAGCGUUAUCCGGAAUCAUUGGGUUUAAAGGGUCCGUAGGCGGUUUAAUAAGUCAGUGGUGAAAGCCCAUCGCUCAACGGUGGAACGGCCAUUGAUACUGUUAGACUUGAAUUAUUAGGAAGUAACUAGAAUAUGUAGUGUAGCGGUGAAAUGCUUAGAGAUUACAUGGAAUACCAAUUGCGAAGGCAGGUUACUACUAAUUGAUUGACGCUGAUGGACGAAAGCGUGGGUAGCGAACAGGAUUAGAUACCCUGGUAGUCCACGCC